rnacentral:rRNA from 1 species
GCUCCCUCCGCCGCCCGACUCAGACUCCUACGGAGGGCAGCAGUGGGGAAUAGUUGCGCAAUGGGCGGAAGCCUGACGCAGCGACGCCGCGUGAGGGAUGACGGCCUUCGGGUUGUAAACCUCUUUCAGCUCUGACGAAGCGAGAGUGACGGUAGGAGCAGAAGAAGCACCGGCCAACUACGUGCCAGCAGCCGCGGUAAUUC